rnacentral:rRNA from 1 species
GGGGAAGAAAGUCUCAAGUUUCCCAUAUUUGUAUGGCGUAAGUUACUACGGAAGAAGCACUGGCUAACUCUGUGCCAGCAGCCGCGGUAAUACAGAGAGUGCAAGCGUUAAUCGGAAUCACUGGGCGUAAAGCGCGCGUAGGUGGAUAUUUAAGUCGGAUGUGAAAGCCCUAGGCUUAACCUAGGAACUGCAUUCGAUACUGGAUAUCUCGAGUAUGGUAGAGGGAAGUGGAAUUUCCGGUGUAGCGGUGAAAUGCGUAGAUAUCGGAAAGAACACCAGUGGCGAAGGCGGCUUCCUGGACCAAUACUGACACUGAGGCGCGAAAGCGUGGGGAGCAAACAGGAUUAGAGACCCUGGUAGUCCACGCCGUCAACGAUGAGAACUAGCUGUUGGAGAGUUUGCUUUCUAGUAGCGAAGCUAACGCGUUAAGUUCUCCGCCUGGGGAGUACGGCCGCAAGGUUAAAACUCAAAGAAAUUGACGGGGGCCCGCACAAGCGGUGGAGCAUGUGGUUUAAUUCGAUGCA